AAAAGUCAAGCUGUGAAGACAAGAGGGUGACCGAAUUCAGGACCCAGAAGCCAGCUUCGGUUCACUCUGCCUUCCGCUUUGAAGCCCGAAGCGAUCUGAGGAGUCUCAGUUCCAGCUCGGCCUGGGAGGGGGUGACGAUUUCCCGAGAGGCAGUGCCAUCAGGAUGGCUGUCCCCCGAAACAGGCAUGGGAACCAGGGCAGGACGCCCCUGUGGAGGGCUGGCCUUGUGUGGGCACGCUCCCUCACCGUCACCCCGCAGGAGAAGACGCAGAACGCGACACGGAGGAAUCGUGAAUACGCUCUCCGCCCAGCUCUAGCAUCGCCAUACCUGCCGUAGAGGGUUUUUAAGAAGCGAGACUUGAACCACUAGCCUGUAGGACACCAGAGGCCCUUGCUUACAAUCUUAGAUAACAAAAGGUUGCACCAUGAGCAUGAAACCAGAUGUUUUGUUUUUGGCUGUACUGGCAUGUGAACAUGGGGCCUACUCCACCAGCCCUUUAUGCGUUAGCUGCUUUUAAAAUAGAGUCUCCCAUAUGUGCUAGGUCAACCUGAUCAUGAUCUUCCUAUUUAUGCUUCUUGUGGAGUUUGAAUGACAGCUAUGUAGCACUAUGCUUGAAAGUUUGAUAGGUACCACCUAUGCUUUGAAAGUUUCCCUUUUCUGUGAGUUUUUUUUUUAUUUGAUUCAAAAGUACAUACCCAUGCAACAGCAAUACUUACAAGACAAAUGUGCUGUAAAUGA